rnacentral:misc_RNA from 1 species
UUUCCGUAGGUGAAACGGCGGAAGGAUCAUUCAUAAUAAAGUGUUUUAUGGCACUUUUUUAAAUCCAUAUCCACCUUGUGUGCAAUGUCAUGGUUGAGUUUUCUCUCGAGAGGAUCAGCCCCAAACAUCAACUAUAUCUCAACUCUGUGUCUGAAAAAUAUUAUGAAUAAAACAAUUCAAAAUACAACUUUCAACAACGGAUCUCUUGGCUCCC